GCAUGGGGCAGAGGUGGACUUUUACACAACAGGUGUGAAAUCCCCGGGCAAAUCUGAAGUGUUGCUAUCUGGGAGUGGUGUCUGGUAUGUGGGUGCUCAGGAUGACCAUCAGAUCUGAUCAUUUAUGCUAGUUCUUCCCAACAGCCAUGUGGUGGGUAGUCCUGGACACCUGGCAUCUCUUAUGCCUCAGUUCUUCAACCACAUCCAGAGGAGUCCAAACGAAUGAAAAUAUCUGAGAGCAGCUGCUCAGAAGAGGAAGAGCAUCAUGCUGAUUCAAAGUGUGUCAAUUUGGGCAUCCUUUUCUGCCACUCCGACUUCCAAAAUCAAAUUGUUACAAUCAAGAUGCAGAACAAGGAUCCUAUCAGGGG